rnacentral:rRNA from 1 species
UACGUAGGGGGCAAGCGUUAUCCGGAAUUACUGGGUGUAAAGGGUGAGUAGGCGGCAUGGUAAGCCAGAUGUGAAAGCCUUGGGCUUAACCCGAGGAUUGCAUUUGGAACUAUCAAGCUAGAGUACAGGAGAGGAAAGCGGAAUUCCUAGUGUAGCGGUGAAAUGCGUAGAUAUUAGGAAGAACACCAGUGGCGAAGGCUGCUUUCUGGACUGAAACUGACGCUGAGGCACGAAAGCGUGGGGAGCGAACAGG